rnacentral:other from 1 species
GUGUGGCUGCGUGACACGCGAGAGGUAUUAAUCUCCGGGGCCUAACAACACCUAACGGGAGCCGUCUCUGUCGGAAUCUUGGUUUCGUUAUAUGGCGCCCACCUGCGAAAGCGGGCCUAGGUGGAUUGUAAAUCGGACGUUCUUGUGGCUACGCC